rnacentral:rRNA from 1 species
AUUGAACGCUGGCGGCAGGCUUAACACAUGCAAGUCGAGCGGAGAUGAGGUGCUUGCACCUUAUCUUAGCGGCGGACGGGUGAGUAAUGCUUAGGAAUCUGCCUAUUAGUGGGGGACAACAUUCCGAAAGGAAUGCUAAUACCGCAUACGCCCUACGGGGGAAAGCAGGGGAUCUUCGGACCUUGCGCUAAUAGAUGAGCCUAAGUCGGAUUAGCUAGUUGGUGGGGUAAAGGCCUACCAAGGCGACGAUCUGUAGCGGGUCUGAGAGGAUGAUCCGCCACACUGGGACUGAGACACGGCCCAGACUCCUACGGGAGGCAGCAGUGGGGAAUAUUGGACAAUGGGCGGAAGCCUGAUCUAGCCAUGCCGCGUGUGUGAAGAAGGCCUUUUGGUUGUAAAGCACUUUAAGCGAGGAGGAGGCUACCUGGAUUAAUACUCUAGGAUAGUGGACGUUACUCGCAGAAUAAGCACCGGCUAACUCUGUGCCAGCCGCCGCAGUAAAAC